UUCCGGUUGAUCCUGCCGGACCUGACUGCUAUCGGAUUGAUACUAAGCCAUGCGAGUCUUUGUAGCAAUACAAGGCAGACGGCUCAGUAACACGUAGUCAAUCUAACCUAUGGACGAGGAUAACCUCGGGAAACUGAGAAUAAUACUCGAUAGAUCAUAAUGCCUGGAAUGGUUUAUGGUCCAAAUGAAUUUCGCCAUAGGGUGGGACUGCGGUCUAUCAGCUUGUUGGUGAGGUAAUGGCCCACCAAGGCUAUAACAGAUACGGGCUCUGAGAGGAGAAGCCCGGAGAUGGGUACUGAGACACGGACCCAGGCCCUAUGGGGCGCAGCAGGCGAGAAAACUUUGCAAUGUGCGAAAGCACGACAAGGUUAAUCCGAGUGGUUCCUGCUAAAGGAAUCUUUUGUUAGUCAUAAUACCACUGAUGAAUAAGGGGUGGGCAAGUUCUGGUGUCAGCCGCCGCGGUAAAACCAGCACCUCAAGUGGUCAGGAGGAUUAUUGGGCCUAAAGCAUCCGUAGCCGGCUCUGUUAGUUUUCGGUUAAAUCCAUAUGCUCAACAUAUGGGCUGCCGGGAAUACUGCAAAGCUAGGGAGUGGGAGAGGUAGACGGUACUCCGUAGGAAGGGGUAAAAUCCUUUGAUCUAUGGAUGACCACCUGUGGCGAAGGCGGUCUACCAGAACACGUCCGACGGUGAGGGAUGAAAGCUGGGGAGCAAACCGGAUUAGAUACCCGGGUAGUCCCAGCUGUAAACCAUGCAAACUCAGUGAUGCGUUGGCUUGUGGCCAGCGCAGUGCCGCAGGAAGCCGUUAAGUUUGCCGCCUGGGAAGUACGUACGCAAGUAUGAAACUUAAAGGAAUUGGCGGGGGAGCACCACAAGGGUGAAGCCUGCGGUUCAAUUGGAUUCAACGCCGGA
rnacentral:rRNA from 1 species